rnacentral:rRNA from 1 species
AGUGUAGGCGGGAUCGUAAGUUAGGAGUUUAAUGCAUGGGCUUAACCCAUGAUCUGCUUUUAAUACUGCGGUUCUUGAGUAUGGGAGAGGGCGAUGGAAUUCCAGGUGUAGCGGUGGAAUGCGUAGAUAUCUGGAAGAACACCAGUAGCGAAGGCGGUCGCCUGGCCCAAUACUGACGCUGAUGCUCGAAAGCUAGGGGAGCAAACAGGAUUAGAUACCCUGGUAGUCCUAGCCGUAAACGAUGGACACUAGUUGCUGGAGGAGUCAAUCCUUCCGGUGACGAAGCUAACGCAUUAAGUGUCCCGCCUGGGAAGUACGCUCGCAAGGGUGAA